rnacentral:misc_RNA from 1 species
GAUGAAGAACGUAGCGAAAUGCGAUAAGUAAUGUGAAUUGCAGAAUUCAGUGAAUCAUCGAAUUUUUGAACGCACCUUGCACUCCUUGGUAUUCCAAGGAGUAUGCCUGUUUGAGUGUCAUGGAAUUCUCAAUCUAUAAGAUUUGUUUUAGUCAAUAAAUCUUAUAGACUUGGACUUGGAGGUUGUGCCGGCUUUUUGUUUUUAUAAAAGUAUUGGCUCCUCUUAAAUAUAUUAGCGCAAAAGUUUAUAAGUCGCUUUACUGGUGUGAUAAUUAUCUACGCCAUAAGCCAUUACAAACUUAUAAAUACUUUAUCUAUUUUGUGCUUCUAAUCAUCCUUUAUAAAGAGGAUAAAUAUACUUUGACAUCUGACCUCAAAUCAGGUAGGACUACCCGCUGAACUUAAGCAUAUCAAUAAGCGGAGGA